rnacentral:rRNA from 1 species
GACGAACGCUGGCGGCGUGCUUAACACAUGCAAGUCGAACGGAAAGGCCCUGCUUUUGUGGGGUGCUCGAGUGGCGAACGGGUGAGUAACACGUGAGUAACCUGCCCUUGACUUUGGGAUAACUUCAGGAAACUGGGGCUAAUACCGGAUAGGAGCUCCUGCUGCAUGGUGGGGGUUGGAAAGUUUCGGCGGUUGGGGAUGGACUCGCGGCUUAUCAGCUUGUUGGCGGGGUAGUGGCUUACCAAGGCUUUGACGGGUAGCCGGCCUGAGAGGGUGACCGGCCACAUUGGGACUGAGAUACGGCCCAGACUCCUACGGGAGGCAGCAGUGGGGAAUAUUGCACAAUGGGCGGAAGCCUGAUGCAGCAACGCUGCGUGCGGGAUGACGGCCUUCGGGUUGUAAACCGCUUUCGCCUGUGACGAAGCGUGAGUGACGGUAAUGGGUAAAGAAGCACCGGCUAACUACGUG